CGGCAAAAGCUCAAAUUUGAAAUCUGGUACCUUUCGGUGCCCGAGUUGUAAUUUGGAGAGAGUGAUUCUGGGACUGGCCCUUGCCUAUGUUCCUUGGAACAGGACGUCAUAGAGGGUGAGAACCCCGUGAGGCGAGGUGAUCCAGUUCUUUGUAGAGCGCUCUCGAAGAGUCGAGUUGUUUGGGAAUGCAGCUCUAAGAGGGUGGUAAAUUCCAUCUAAAGCUAAAUACAGGCGAGAGACCGAUAGCGAACAAGUACAGUGAUGGAAAGAUGAAAAGAACUUUGAAAAGAGAGUGAAAAAGGACGUGAAAUUGUUGAAAGGGAAGGGCAUUUGAUCAGACAUGGUGUUUUGUGCCCCUCGCUCCUCGUGGGUGGGGGAAUCUCGCAGCUCACUGGGCCAGCAUCAGUUUUGGCGGCAGGAGAAAUCCUCGGGAAUGUGGCUCUUGCCUCUGGUAGGAGUGUUAUAGCCCGGGGGAAUACUGCCAG
rnacentral:rRNA from 1 species